UACGGAGGGUGCGAGCGUUAAUCGGAAUAACUGGGCGUAAAGGGCACGCAGGCGGGCUUUUAAGUGAGAUGUGAAAUCCCCGGGCUCAACCUGGGAACUGCAUCUGAUACUGGCAAGCUUGAGUCUCGUAGAGGGGGGUAGAAUUCCAGGUGUAGCGGUGAAAUGCGUAGAGAUGUGGAGGAAUACCGAAGGCGAAGGCAGCCCCUUGGGAAUGUACUGACGCUCAUGUGCGAAAGCGUGGGGAGCAAACAGG
rnacentral:rRNA from 1 species